AUAGUCACAAAAUAAAAAGUCGCUACAUUUCCCACAGUUCAUUGAAGAUUGCGUAUGUAGCUUAUGUGCAAGGUGGAUUUAUUAUGUGUGAAUUAAUUUGCCACGGGCAUGCAUAAGGUGAAAUUGAAUGUAGAGAGAGAAGUUUGGAGGCGGAAAAGUUUAAAAUAGAGAAACAUAACGCAAAAAACUUCGAAACAAAGGCAAAAUUAAAGUCUCACUGCGUACAGAAAGUAAUGAUAUUGAUGGCUAUCAGAAAUCCACUUUGGCUGCUAAUGACUAUGAUGACGUCAUACUAAAUACUAUUGAGAUGCGCAUACCAUAUUGCAUAAAAAAGUUUGCUUCAUGUUUUUUGUGGAAAAUCGAUCGCUAUGAUAGACAUCUAAAACUGAACACUUAA